GAGGAUGACUGCACCUAUGACUACGUACUCACAUGGAUGCGUGGGUCCCGCAUAAAUAAAAUAAUGCCCGACCUCCCAUGUGUGUGUAUGCGGUCAUCCUCGAUGGUGUGUGUACCUCGUCGAACCUAUUUGAAUUAUGUUUCUCCUUCUUCCACUAGUGGAUUGGUGGUUUAACAUCUGAGUGGAUUUCUUUAUGGCGACCACUAAUCCAAAGAAAAAACAACGAUGGCUACUUCAUUUUCUUCCUUUAAAAGCUAUUAAAUUAAGAGAUUAUCGCACAACAGAAGGCGAGAUGCAUAGACUGAAACCUUACUUAGAUUUUAUUUGGGGAAUCCUUAAAUUAGAGGUAAUUUUUUGCCUUUGAAUUUACGUUUCUUCAAACUGAGCCGUAAAUCUGGGUUUCGUGAAGGCUACAAUGAGGUUUUUUAUGAUGAUUUUGCAUAUUUACAGAAUUUUAUAAUUCUUAUCAUUCUAUCAAAAUUGGCUAAACUUAAGAGCAAUAUACUUGGUACAUAUUCUUAGGUUUGAAUAUUUUGAAUUCAUAAUUUAUUGAUUGAAUCACUUUUAAAAUUUCAGCAGUGUUUGUUUAGCAAAAAAUCAAACAAUUAUGUACCGCGAUAUUCGUAAAAUUAUUUUUAUCCACAAUGAUUUGUGACGGUUUUUAAUUUUUUCGAUUUUUUUUUUAUUUUUUUUAGAGUCGAAAGGAUGUGGAAGGUUUUCUCUUUGUGGUGAAAAUGUAGUGUUUUCUUAGGAAUUUUUGUGAAGCUUGAUUUCCUUCUUUGACUGAGUUUUUAGGAUUUUCUAUGGAUUUAAUAAAUUUUGAUUUUCAGGAUGAUGUUGCAGCGAAUCGAUCAUUUUGUUGAACAAAUUCUAAUAACCACUGCUCAUGUCACCUUUUACGAAUCUAACAUUGAUACAAGCCACUGGGUAAUCUAUACACUGAGUAGAGGAAUUUACAUGCUUAUGUGGGCUUUAUGCGUGUAGAAAUGCAGCGUCACAUCGUUUAAUAUAUUUGACUUUUAUUCACAAUGAUUUGUGAGGGUUUCUAAUUAUUAUUUGCAUAGUUGAAAGGAAGUGGAACGUUAUCUCUUUGCGGUGAAAUGAUAGUUUUUUUCUUAGGAAUUUUUGUGAAGCUCGACUUUUUUAUUUUUUUUAUUUAUUAUUAUUAUUAUUAUUUUUUGGAUUGAGUUUCUAGGGGUUUAUGCAUUUAAUAAAUUUUGUUUUUCGGGAAUACUUAACCCUGGUUCCAGUUUAUAGUAAAGAAUCUACUCAGUAAAAUUGGUUACAUUUAGUUGAAUGACAUGCAAAAUUGAUUGCAAUUGACACAAGGAUGAAUUAUGGUGUACGUGAUAUGAUGCUCGAGUUCAUUAAUUUAAGCAGAUAAUUUGGUGUAGAAUCUCUUGGCUGAUUUUGAGUAUGAAGUGCAAGUUCCGUAUUUAUUGUAUCAUAAUGCUACUCGAGAUAAGUCGAAUAUUGUUCUAUAAUGCAUGUGAAUGUGAAGAAGUUGUGACUCUCUUUAGUAGGUAGGUAUUUUGUUUUACUCUUGUUCUCCGUUUUCUUAUAUGUGUAAUAAUUUUGUCUGUUUUCAUUUUGUU
rnacentral:lncRNA from 1 species